UACCAGGAAUUGACUUUCUGAUGACAGAAGAACGACUACCACCGACACUUCUGCUCCCCCUAGGCCCUUGUUUUAUAGGAUCUUCUCGGGUUAUAUCUUUUAUUUCGUGCGACAUAGGACCCUUUGACUUAAGCUGGGCUUGAUGAUUGGAUAACAUGGUAAAUAUCAUCUGGUUAUAGUAGCCAUCCAAGUCACUUACAGAGAACGGCAUGACCUUGUUGUUUUUGAAUUCCCAACAGCACACGUAGACACCAGAGAACAAGUUUUCUGGGGCAAGAGAAAUAUAUCUCUCAUAAUCUUCAGGUGUCAAAACAGUAGCAGGAGCGUCAAUGCACUCGGCAUAGAUCACCUGAGUAUGAGGCGUGAUAAAUAUUUCUCCAGGGUGUCCCUCAAGCUGCGGAAUUACACACUGGACUUCCUGAAGAUGUUGAAACCACCGCACCUUAACGCUUUUCUCUCCCUUCUUGUUCUCAUAGAAAUCAUCCAAGUAAGCUAGGUAGUGACCUUCUUCUUCGGCCUUGAUUAUAGCAAAGGAAUUAACCUGCAGAAAACUCUUAGUUUCAGGAGGAAGAAAAAAAAAAAAACGAGGUCAAGGAACUGAGAAAUGCUACAAAGUGCUUACAGUUAUUGUAAUUCCCUUUGUGCUAAAAGAAGGAUAAUGCUUAAGUCGCUUAGCGCACGUCCAAGCAGUACCGGACCACAAAAUAUUUGAUAUCUUUGGUUUCGAUUUGCUAGGAAGCUGUCCCUGAAAUAGAUAUUUUCCCCUUCAGUAACCGUAGUUAAAAAUGUUGAAACUAAGGUACAUACAAAGUAGAUCAACACAUUUGAGACCUCAUCAGAUAUGUGACCAGCUGUUGAAGCACUCCUUUUCUUUUCACUUGCCGGGGUAUCUACAAGAUAAGAGAAGUCAAAUUUAUACUAUAGCUUUCUAAUUAAAGAAGCACAAUAACUAGACAUAGUGAGCUUCUUAAUCGUGAUAAUAAACUAUGUGAAGCAUGGAGUAAGACUAUUGUGGAUAGUCUUAAAAUAGCUCAUUUAAAACUUCUUUACAUUAUUUAAGAUAGAAAAUAUGUGAUAGAACUUCUCACAGGAUGUUAAUUUAUCAUAUUAAAAAAUGAUUCAUUUGCAUCCCCCGAUCCUGGAUUGAAGAUAGUUAACUUACAAUGUAAGGAAACACAAUUUUUUACGUAUGUUACUAUUGUACGAAUAACAGCAAAACUAAAAGAACAACUAGAAUUGCACUCCACCAUCUAAGUAUCUCGGACUCAGGUACAGGUAUCCGAUAUGGGUAUGGAUCUAAAGGUCAAAUCCUGCAUGAUCUAAAUUUUAAGAUUCGAGAGUACUAAUUUAGGUAUGGAUAUGGGUGCAGGGAUUCGGCUAAAAUAAUUCAAAAUUCAAAUAUAGAGUUUUAUGUCUACAUUUUGAGACAUCAUAUGGAAACUUUCAAGGUUUUAUGAGGAAAGAUUAUUGUUUAAGAGAAUUCCAAAAUGUGAUAUAAGGAAAACGACUGACAUAGAAAUUACUCCAUUUUCUUCAAUUUCACCUUAACUUUUGUUUUGAUUAUAGAAAUCAUUGUAUGCAUUCCGAAUUUCUCUAUUGAUUUUGAUCAAAGUAUCCAAAAUCAAUUUACUAAAUCCAGCACGGAUCCCACACCAUACUCAUAUCAUCUCAACGUGGGUGCAACACUGAAAUGAAGAGUCCAAGCAACUUAGUCCACCGUGCAUAAUGAUUUAGUAAAUGAUAUGAUUAUACUUUUUAACAUCACGUGUAAAUAUUCAUGACAAUCACUUGAUGGGGGAACUUUUAUAUGAGGUCGAAUUGAAUAAUGUCAUGAAGGUCAUAACUCGAGCCAAAAGUGUAGAAAAAACAAGAAAUAAUGCAAAUCUCUUGUGCCCUUGUAUGCUUUAGAAACAGAGCACAAUAGGUUCUUGGUCCCUAUAUUGUGCAAGGAUUCCAAAAUGUCCAAAAGUGAUAGCCGCUAUAUUGCUCAGACUCUUCAAAAAUAUCAUUGGUUACGUGUCAGAUCAUUCAAAAAUAGUGCAUUUUUUAAGGAUCCGAUACGGGUGCGGCCACACUUUUGGAUAAUUCGAGCAACUUAGGUGAUAGGUAGUAGUGUUUCUUGGCACUCAUAAGUUCAAAAAUUUGUUUAUUGGAUCCAUGCGGAAUAGCUUCCUUCUAACUUAUUGUUGCAUGUUUCAAUUUCAAAACGUAUAUUCAAUUUAAGCAAUCUUGCUUUCUAGUCUCCAUACACAUGUUGACAAUCAUCCAAAUCAUAAGAAGGCAAACAUAAGUUGAUUCUUCCGAAGAGAUGUGUCAACCUCGGGAUGUAUUACUCCUAAUACCAUGCGGCUCAGGGACGAAGCUUAACAUGAGUCUCGGUUAAGAACGGAGAUGAUAGACUCAUAUACAUUUCACACGGCACACGAUCCAUGAUUAGUUUCAUCCGAGAUCGUGAUGGAGGACAUUGCUUAUGAUCAUCGGCUUAUAUCAUGCCACUAGGCAUUUGAUUAAGACAUUGCACAAUGAUUCCAACACUUUGUAGUUGGUCAUGUAUUUCUACCUUGAUGGGAUAGAUGAAAUUCUUGUUCGGAUGUCGAAUCAUUGAUGGCAAUGUCACUAAAGCAUUGACGAACUCAUUCUGGAUUUGUGGGACGUGUCUGAACUCAAUAUUCAUUAAUUUCCCACAUAACUCUUUUAUAUGGCCAAAUAUGGCAAUAUCUCAUCAUUUUUAAUGAUCCGUUCUCCAUCAUGAAUUCGUGAUAAUGUAUGGCAUUCUAACUUCUCUCACUAGAUGCCAAGAUCCUUAGCAACAUAGUGAAAGCCUUUCUCCGCUUAUAAAAUCAUUUGUUUCAAACAACUCCAAGGUCAUUUGUUCUUAAUACUUCAUAGCUAAUGUAACCACUAAAUAUAUGAUGUUCUUUGGGUCACUAAUAGGAAAAUCUAAAAAACUUUUUAGAUCUAAUAUGAAAUAUGAACCGAGGGUCUAUCAAAAACAAUAUCUCUAUCAUUAGGGGUAAGGUUUAUGUACACACUACCCUCUCAAGACCUCACUUGUGGGAUUACAUCGGCUAUGUUAUUGCUGUUGUAUAUAAUAUGACGUACCUUAAAUAAAACUGCACCCAAGGGUGUGCCUAAAGAUCAAUGAAGUAGAUUAAGAACUAUGACUUCUCAAGUUCAAAUUCCAACAGAGAUAAAAAUACUAGAUGAUUUCUUCAUAUUUGUCCAAGCCUUGGUGGACAAAAUCGUCUGCUACUAGCGGUGGUGGGGAGGUCAGGAAUCUGUGGAAUUAGUCGAGGUGAUUUCAAGACCCCGUCCACCCCCAGAUCAAUAUUAGCAAAUACGUUAGCUAAUAAUGCCAAUUAAUAUAAAUAGUUGGAUCGACGCUUUUGAUAUUACCGGGGAGUGUUGGGUAAAGUCAUACUUGUCAAGGAAAAGUUGGACUGGUAUUAUUAAGAAGCUGGCUACCCAAAAAUUAUCACUAGCUUGGUCAUUUAACUAAUUGGACAGGGUAAAGGACUAUCUUGGUGGAGAUUAGGAUUAGUUUGAUGAAUAAAAGAAGAAUCGGUUGAAAUUCUCUCGGGGAAAGUUGUUUGUGAUUGUUGUAUACAUGCCCUUUAUUGCAAGAUCACAUUGUUGUAAAAUGCAAUAACAUUUUGAAAGGCCAACAUUUUCUACAUCAUGCACAAUCAGAGCCGUCUCGAAUACUAGAGCCUGUAAGGCCAACAUCAAGAUGUAAAUAGUACCAAGUGAUAUUCAAUGAGGUCUACAUGUUUAAACUUAUAAGAGAGUACAUAAUUGGAUUAUUCACAUUACCGCAUCUGUAUAUGUUACGCCCCGCAAUUCGGGCUACAAUAUAGACUAUGAUUUCGAUGCGUUGUUAAUCCCGAAGCCAUAAAAUCCUAUGCCAGCACGGCAUGUUAAUUAUCGUGUAGCAUGUGAAAUCCACUCAUGCUUGAAUUUAGACCAUAGAGGUCCCUCAACUCAAGGACGAGUUGAAACUAUUUUGAUCGACUAAAUUUUAGUGGACGUUGUAAAGUGUGUCACCUUCCUUCGACCAUAACUCUAUGUAUAUGUCAAAUUAGGGAACCUACUAUGUGUCAAAUGAUAGGUAUUCGAGUUAGCUUUCGAACGAUACCAAGUUGGCUAAAAUCCGACACCCGAGCAAAAAGUUAUGGCCUUUCAAAGUGAUAAGUGACGCCUAACCAAUCGCCCAUGGCCACUGGAAAGCAUAGGCAAUAGCCUAGGCUGCGCCUAUGUAAACAUAGGUGAUAGCCUAGGCGGCGCCUAUGUGAAGAUAGGCGAUGGGAUGGGCGGUGCCUAUGUAAGUAAUUCUAGUGAUUUAAACACUCCGUGUUGAGGACAAAGUGGUCCUUUUCCACCCUUAGCCCUAAAACACGAGAUUUAGUUCCAAGGACCCCAAAAUACAUAUUCUUUCAUCAAAAGUGCUCAAGAUUCUCCUUAGGAUUUCAAAAUAAAAACCCAAGCCACUCAAGAUUCAACCGUGGGUUUUAGAAACUAAUUACAUAUUUGGAAUCCUCUCAACGUAGGCUUCAAGAAGCACCUAAUAUUCAUAGUAAUCGAGGUACGUGGGGUUAUCCAAAAAUCUCAUGGGUGUAGUUUUAUGAACAUGCAUGCUUUUAAAUGGGGGUUUUCAAUCAAAUGCUAAUAUCUUGCUUUCAAUAUGAUUUCUAAGUCAUUUUCUUUAUGUCAUGGGAAUUGUUUGCCUACAUACUUCAAUGGUUGAAACCAUGUAUAUGUGAUUUGAGAUUUUCCAUGGAAGUUGAUAAAUAUGAAUGAUAAAUUAUUUUCAAAUUCCCAUGACAAUGUUUCGAUACUCCAUAUUAUAUUGUGAUCAACAAAAGAGAGCAUGAAUUUGAAAUAAAUAUUGUUCACCACUUGUAAAUGAUGAAGCACCUUGGUUUUCACAUGAUUAUGCAUAUGUGGAUGUCUCAUCGCUGGAAGAACGUGUUUGCCGACACGGAAUAUCGAUACCAUGCUUUGUGUUCUUGCGUACCUGAUAUUAUAUUAUCCCAAAUUGGGAUUAUGGUUAGGAGCCAUGCUUUGUGGUCUUGUGCACUACCAUAUUUGAUUUGGGUCUAGACACCAUGCUUUGUGGUCUUGUGUGUCUCUCCUCACUUAUACUCUAAUCUCGGCGGUAACCGAGGUUUGACAGUUGGUGUAAAUUAUGUAGGGUAUUCCAUCUAGCUCAGUUGCAUUUUAUUAUUGUUGAGAAAACUAUUGCGUUACACCCAUGUGCUUUCAAAUGAUUUGAUACAAAAUUGCUUUAUGAUGGCUCUCAAUUAUACUUUGUAAAAAUAUUAUGUUUUGUUUUGAUAUCUCUGCGUGCCAGUACUUUUGUGCUGACCCCCUCCACUCUCCAACCUCUCAGGUUCAGAGGCCCAGUCUAGGGGUCAAGAGAAUCAGUAGAACUUUCUAACUUUUAGACAGAGCUGUAGAGACAAGUGGUGAGCCUUCUAUGUUUCGGAAGGUCUUAAGUCCUGUAGUCCUUUUAUCUUAUAUUCAGUUUUUGGGUCUACUGGGGGCCUUGUCCCAGUUUUCAGAUAGUUACUUGUUUCAGUCAUGUAGUAGAGAUUUCGCAGAUGAUUUUUGAAAUGUUGAUUGAGAUUGUGGGACAUUAUUCCCCAUUAUUGUUUUCAUAUGAUUCUUGACCAUGUUUCUAUUAUAUUGUGUUUCUUUCGCAUGACUUUGAUCAUAUGAAUUAGGUGCAUGAUUACCAGAUAGAUAGGGGUGUUUCGGGUCUCAAAGGUUCGAAAUGCUCGUCACAGCCAGGCCCUGGUUUGGGUUGUGACAGUAUCAUUAGCGAUACUCGGAAUUAGAUACUCACUAAUUAUAUUCAACCUCCUAUAAGUGUCAAACCUACCAUUAAUAAGAGUAUAUCAUAAGCAAAUGAUUCUACAAGGCUAUCACAAGUCAUGGCCUAAGGUGGGGCCGAGGGCAUCUUAUCUAUGCGGCUUCUCAUUAUUCUUGAAUUGAAUCUUUGUGAUUUCUCAAGUGGUUAGAUAGUCAUUAUCUUGACCGUUUGCUCAUGAUCUAGAAUCAAAGGGAAGAUUGUACUAAGAUCCACCUGAGUACCCAACUCCUCUUAAAAUGCUCUCCAAAAGCUAUAAGUGAACACGGAACCCCGGUCUGUUGUUCACAUAGUUUAUGUCGGUUUAGAGAAACUCUCCAAAAGAAAAACUUAUUAGUUUUAAGAUAAUAUAUGAUUGGUCAAGGAAAGAGAGUUUUAAUGGACCCCAUGGGUCCUGCCUGGCCGCUGAGAGCUCGGUGGGUGUAUACGGAAGAUCAUAUUGCUUUCACCAUUCAUUCUAUUCAUAUUGCAUUGCAUAGAUAUAAUUUUCCAAAUGGUUGAACGCUCAAAUAAGAAAUUGCAUGAAGACGUGUAGUUAAAGGCUCGGUUGCUCAGGUGCCUAGAAGAAAUUUAAGGUUUAGAAUCAAAGGAGAUUUCGAUUAUGCUUGACAAUCGGGAAUGCAUUUAUUUAUUUUCGAUAGCAAAAAUUGAGCAAACCAAUGGGCUAGAGCUCCUUCUUUUUAUAUAAUAGGGAACAAAUUUAAAUCUAAAAGAUUGAAAAGCAGUCCAUCUGUCUUAGUUAGAUAGUAAUAUAGCCUGAAAAAUAUUAACAAAUAUCAAUUAACUAACAAAUAUCAAUUAACGGGAUAGAAUAAUCACAACGGGAGGUUUCCUUUCAUGCUCGCUUACAUACCAGUAGCUAUAUUAACUUAUGCGCGCAACCAAGGGUGUGGCCUAGUGGUCAAUGAAAUGGUUGAGCACAAUUAGAUCUCAGGUUCAAAUCCAGCAGAGAAAAAUCACUAGGUGAUUUCUUCUCAUCUGUCCUAGCCUUGGUGGACAGUUGCUGGUGGGCGGUGGCAGACACCCCGUAGAAUUCGUGGUGCGCGCAAGCGGGCUCGUACACCAAGGUUAUCAAAAAACAUUAACUUAUGUGCUUCAACAAUUAAACGGAACAGUUGAAGUCCAAAUCACAUAGUAGUUUAGGCCUUAUGACUGAAUGACUCACAACAUUCGAAUCAGCCAAAGAAAAGGGCCUCACUCUAAACAUAUUAUACUAAACGACAAAUUUGUGUGCUGCACGUUUUUAAAGUACAACAACACACAGGACUUGAUUAGCAAAGCCUUGUAUCCAAUAAAUAGUUCAAAAAAAAGUGAGACUGAUAUUAACCGAUCAAAUUGAUAAAGUUUGGACAUUUGCGGAACUUGAACAUGGUUGCUUUUAGACAUUAUCAUAAGACAUUUGCUGUCUCUAGAUUGAUCGGGUGCAACCAGCAGCCAAUAAACUAUGAUCAACUUCUUCAGGAAAUGAUAAAUACUAGAAAUGAGAGAAUUUGAUGUACAUGUACGCUAAUAGAUAUUGCAAAACACGUAACUGAAAUCUUAGACUGCUACUAGACAUACUUGAAAUAGGUGAUGAUUGGUGAGGCUCUGAAAUCAAAGACGUCAGCCAUCCGACUACAUCUAGUUUUGCACGCCACUUUGUUUCAGAAUUUAUGGUACUUGUAUGCCCAAACGCAUCCAAAUAAUCCUUCGUGACAACGUAGAUCAUGUGCUUUGCACUUUUUUCAGUACCCACCACGGCAAGUAACUCUCCUAAUGAAUCCUUCAAGUAGUAGUGCACAACACGACGGCCCUUCUCCUUAGAAACACGGCGUUCUUCCCACGAAAAAAACACGCGAUUAUUUGUAUUCAUCCUGAUGCUACACGAAACAAUUUGUAUUAAUCAGAAACAGCCUAGUUCUUAAACACCCUCAUCCCAGAAACAUAAACAAAUCAUUUUAGGUAACAAACAUUUUGGAAAAACAAUCCAACGCAGUCACAAACAAGAAGUAGCGGAAGUACAAGAAACAAAAAAUAAUAACAAAAACAGUAACAGCAGCAAGAGAUAGUAACAGAACAGAACUACAACAAAACAACACAAUAAUCGAGGAACAACAGUAGUAACAGAAUCGAAGGACAAGAAACUACAUUAAUGGACAGCAAGAGUCAUGGAGCAAACUAAUCCUCCCAAGUUCUGUUACAAUUUAGGAACCGAUCGAACAAACAGAAAUGAUUGUAACUACGAACAGUAGACACAAAGAACAGAUCUUUCCAACGAUUAGCUCCGGAUGACAAUAUAAACAAUGAAAAACAGCAUCAAAAAACAAACCCCAAAUGAAACACACAUUUUGCGUCAUCCAAAACUAAUCCUAAUUCCAGAAAAGUCACAAAGAACAUUUUUUUUUUCAAGAGUAACAACCAAGGACCAAAAUCACAACAAAGCCCAAGCAGCUUGAAAAACGAAAUGGGGUUUGUUGAUUUUCAAAGAUUAACCAUUUACAAGAACUAGUCGAGAGCUUAAACACCCUCAUUCAGAAACAUAAACAAACAUUUUAGGCUAAAGAGUCACGAGGAAAAAUAAUCUAAGUUCCUGUAAACAGAAAUAAUUGUAACUAAGAAAUUAGACACAAAAAUGUGUUUCAUUUGAAGAUUGUGGUUUGAUGAUGUUUUCUCACUGUGAAUUUGGUAGGGGUUGGUAAUCUUGAAAUAAAUUGUCCGGUCUUUAAUGAAAAACAUCAUCGAACCACAACCGCAAAUGAAACACAGACAUUUUUGUAGAAUCCAAAUAUAAACUAUUCUUAAUUCAUGAAAACUCUCAAUACAACUCAGCUACAAAGACCGGAUAUUUUUUUCAAGAUUACCAACCCCAGCUGUGAAUUUGGCAGGGGUUGGUAAUCUUGAAAAAAAUAUCUGGUCUAUGUAGCUGAGUUGCCUCAAUACAACUUAGCUACAAAGAACGGACAAUUUUUUUCAAGAUUAUCAACCCAUACCAAAUUCACAGUGAAAAAAUACCAUCAAACCACAACCUCAAAUGAAACAUAGACAUAAUUUUGUUUAAUCCAAAGAUAAACUAACCUUAAUUCAAGAAAACUCGCAAUACAACUCAGCUACAAAGAACAAAUAAUUUUUUUCAAGAUUACCAACCCCUACCAAAUUUACAAUGAAAAAACAUCAUCAAACCACAACCUCAAAUGAAACACAAACAGAAUUUUGUUUAAUGCAAAGAUAAACUAACCUUAAAUUCCAGAAAACUCUCAAUACAACUCAGCUACAAAGAACAAAUAAUUUUUUUUCAAUAUUGCCAACCCCUAUCAAAUUCACAAUGAGAAAACACCAUCAAACCACAACCUCAAAUGAAACAUAGACAUAAGAUAAACUAACCUUAAUUCAAGAAAACUCUCAAUCCAACUCAGCUACAAAGAUCGGAUAACUUUUUUCAAGAUUGCCAACCCCUAUCAAAUUCACAAUGAGAAAACACCAUCAAACCACAACCUCAAAUGAAACAUAGACAUAAGAUAAACUAACCUUAAUUCAAGAAAACUCUCAAUACAACUCAGCUACAAAGACCAGAUAUUUUUUUUCAAGAUUACCAAACAAGGACAAAAAUCACAAUGAAAAAACACCCUCAAACCACAACCUCAAAUGAAACACAGACAGAAUUUUUCUUAAUCCAAAGACAGACUAACAAUUUUUUUUUUCAAUACAAAGAACAGAUUUUUUUUUUCAAGAUUACCAAACAAGGACCAAAACCAAAAUGAAAAACGAAAAGGGGUUUGAUGAUUUUCAAAGAUUAAACAAGUACGAGAACAAAAACAUACAACAGUGAACCAGCAUUGAUCAUCAGACAACCAAGUGAUCACACUUAUAACAAAGGUUGAAAAAGCAAAACAAGCAACAAAAAGAGAGCCCGGAAUUCAAGAAAAACAAGUUAAGCACGUAACUACUAGUAGUAACUCACCCUGAAAAUAGCAAAAACUUUGUUGCUUUAUGGUGUAAAGAGAGGAGAAAAAGGUUGAUAAAAAAGCCAAAGAGUGAUGAGCUGUUGAGCAAGAGGUGAUGGUUAGGGAAGUGGAGAGAGUAAAGAGGAAAAGAACAACAAAGCCAGAUGCCAUUGUUGUUUGAACUUGUUAGUUUGCCGCUGUGACAUGUGGGAGCAAAAUGAGGGAGAAACACAAAACUUGAAACGUUUGAAAUUUUGGCCUUUCACACUAAACAAAAUUCAGAAAAAAAAAAUUAAAAAAAAAAAAUCUGAAUUUUAAUAGUAGCGCUGGAGCGUCGGAGUAACUAGUAAAGUUGUCUUCGUGCGACUAGUAGGUGACCUUUUAAGUCGUGAAAGCAACCUCUCAGAGAAACGUAGGUUAAGAUUCUUUGUUUCAUGAUCAAGGUGUACGGGCCAACUUGCGCACACCUCGACUAAUUCCACGGGAUAUCUGCUGUCUCACACCAGCAAAAGAUAUUAGGUAACUCUGUCCAUCAAAUCUAGAACAAAUGGAAAGAAAUCAUCUCGUAUAAAAUUGCGUACAAUUAACUCCACAUGAGGUAAGAUAAGUACAAUUAACUCUCACGAUACGAUCCUUCCCUUGAAAACAACCUCUUAGAGAAACGUAGGUUAAGAAUAUUUUUUUAUGAUCGAGGUGUCCGGGCCAACUUACGCACACCUCGACUAAUUCCACGAGAUAUAGGCCGUCUCACACUAGCAACAGAUAUCAGGUAACUCUGUCCACCAAGCGUAGAACAGAUGGGAAGAAAUCUGAUUAAUAGUAGCACAGGAGCGUCGGAGUAACUAGUAAAGUUGUCUUCAUGCCACUAGGAAGUGACUUUUUAAGUCGUGAAAACAACCUCUUGGAGAAACGUAGGUUAAGAUUCUUUUUUUUUUAUAAUCGAGGUGUACGGGACAACUUGCACGCACCUCGACUAAUUCCACCGGAUAUCUGCCGUCUCACACCAGCAACAGGUAUCGGGUAACUCGGUCCACCAAGCAUAGAAAAAAUGGGAAGAACCUACCUAGUGUACGAUUGCGUACAAUUAACUCUCACGAUACGAUCCUUCCCUUGAAAACGGAGGUUAAGAUUCUUUUUUUUAUGAUCGAGGUGUCCGGGCCAACUUACGCACACAUCGACUAAUUUCACGGGAUAUAUGCCAUCUCACACUAGCAACAGAUAUCAGGUAACUUUGUCCACCAAGCAUAGAACAGAUGGGAAGAUACUACCUAGUGUACGAUUACUUACAAUUAACUACACAUGGGGUAAGAUGUGUACAAUUAACUCUCACGAUACUAUCCUUCCCUUGAUUCUGUGCAUAGCGGGAGUUAGUGCACGAGCUGACCUUUUGAAUUCUAAUAGUAAUAAACUUUUAAAUUCUAUUGAAAUACUUACAAUUUUUAAAUAUUAAUUAGUAAUUCUGAAUAAGGUGGGAAGGUUAUAUAUGAUAAAGAUCGUCUUUAAUUUGUUUAAGAUUGAGGCAUAUUAGUAGACUAAUUAAGUAGUUACUCUCUAUUCCAAUUUAUGUGACACAAUUUUUGAUAUUGAAACUUCUAAAUUUUGAUCAUAGUUUUGGAUAUAGAAGCUUUAAUUUUUUUUUUUUUUGAAAGUUAAUUUAUAUAUUUGAAAAAUUAUUAUGAAUCACAAUAAUUAACGACUUAAAAUAUUUGAAAUUCCAGCUAUAUCACAUAAAAUAAAAUAAAGAAGUAGAAAUUACUACAAAUUACAAAUAGCUAUAGUGAAAGCAUAUUUUGUAUACUGUAUGCACAACAUGUAUACUUUGUAUGUUAUUGAACUAAAUGAUUCAGACCCCUAAUUAUCUCAAACUAAUCAGGCCAACUAAUAUCAAAUACCUUAUUUAAACCCAAAAAAAAAGGAAAAAUUACAUAACAUCACAACUUAUCUUUACUAAACUAUAUAAAAUUUCUGUUCUUUUUAUUAAAUACCUAAAUUCGUUUUCUAAAAAAGAAAAAUGGAUACAUCCACAAACCUAUAAAUUUACGAAUACAUAAUUUUUAGUAUGUAUCUCCCUUUGGNNNNNNNNNNNNNNNNNNNNNNNNNNNNNNNNNNNNNNNNNNNNNNNNNNNNNNNNNNNNNNNNNNNNNNNNNNNNNNNNNNNNNNNNNNNNNNNNNNNNNNNNNNNNNNNNNNNNNNNNNNNNNNNNNNNNNNNNNNNNNNNNNNNNNNNNNNNNNNNNNNNNNNNNNNNNNAUAGAAAAUAAUUAUUUAUGUAAAUUUUAUUUUUUUGAAAAAGAAAAAAAAACUAUGCCAACCAAGCCUUUGGUAAAGUGCCUCAUGUUUGGGCUCUCCAUAUUUGAUAAUAUGUGCUUGGGUUGACUGGCCCAGUCCAUUUGGACUAGUCCACCCGGGCUUUGAGUUUUAUGGGCUAGGCCGGGCUGACCCAUCAAAAAAUACCAAACUCGCACCAUUACUUUGUGGACUACGGGCCUCACGGGUCAGCCUAUUUUUUAAACAGAAAAUUGAAUGUCAUAAACCUAAAUAUGGGUGACUUUAGAUAUUUGACACCAAAUAAGAAUGUCUUUGAAGAAUAGCCUUCCUUACUUUUUAAUAUACUAAAAGUACCAUUUUGCCCCUCUACACCUCAACUAUAUUUUUAAACUUUUCAUACUCAUUUAUCUCAAAUCUUAAUUUUUAUUAUUUUUACUUUUUCCUUUAAUUUUAUUAAUCUAUUUUUUAUUAUUUUAAAAUUUUUAUUUUUUCCUUUAAUUUUAUUAUUUUCACUUCAUAUUUUUUCUUUAAUUAUAUUUUCAUGUUUUAAUUUAUUUGUCUCAACCUUGAUUUUUUUCUCUUUUUUUUUUCUAAAGCAUUAUCUAUUUCUUUUUUUUUUAUUUUUAUUUUUAAUUCAUUUGUCUUUAACCUUUAUUUUUCUUUUUAUUUUUUAUUUUUAUCAGUUCUCUUUUUUCCCCUCAUUUUUCUCAAACUUUAUAUUUAUUUUUUCCUCUCAUUUUAUAUUUUCUCAAUUUUUUUAAUUCUUCACUUUUUUUAUUUAGUUUUUUCUUUCCUUUUUUUCUCCUUAUCUUUUUUUUAUUUCUCUAUUUUGUUUGAUUGCUUUUUUCUUUUUUCAGUUCUCUUUUUUCCCCCUCAUUUUUCUCAAACUUUAUUUUUAUUUUUCCUCUCAUUUUUAUUUUUCUCAAAUUUUUAGUUUUUUUUCUUUUUUCAUGAUCUUUAUUUUUUUUCUUUUCUUUUUUUCUCAAUCUUUUUUUAUUUCUCUAUUUUUUUUGAUCACUUUUUUCUUUUUUCUCAACUUCUAUUAUAUUUUGCUAAUAAAUAAAAAAUUAGAUAAUCCGCAAAGGGAUUUUCUUUUUUGACAUCAAAAUAAAUUUAAGGGCAUGAAUUAUUGUUACGAAGUUCUUUGAAAAUUUUUGAGAUAAGUCGUGUCUCUAAGGCAAGAAUUGUAGAAUAUCUCAUAAAUAAAGAUAUAAUAUGGUAGUGUCAACUCUUGUCCGUGGGGCAUGAUUUAUUAUUUGAAAGUCCUUGAGCAAAGUCUUGCCUCUAAGACAAGAGUUGUAGAACAUCCUAUAAAUGAAGACAUAAUGUGGUAGUGUCAAAUCUUGCCCGUGGGACAUAAUUUAUUAUUUGAAAGUCUUUUAAUUAAGUCUUGCCUCUAAGGCAAGAGUUAUAGAACAUCUCAUGAAUGAAGACAUAAUGUGGUAGUGCCAACUCUUGCCCGUGGGACAUAAUUUAUAGUUUGAAAGUCCUUGAGCUAAUUAAGUCUUGCCUCAAAGGCAAUAGUUGUAGAACAUCUUAAAAAUGAAAACAUAAGGUGGUAGAGUCAACUCUUGCCCGUGAGAAAUAAUUUGUAUCUUGAAAGUCCUUGAGCUAAUUAAGUUUUGUCUUUAAGGCAAUAGUUGUAGAACAUCUCUUAAAUGAAGACAUAACGUGGUAGAGUCAACUCUUACCCGUGGGGAAUAAUUUGUAGUUUGAAAGUCCUUAAGUCAAGUCUUGCCUCUAAGGCAAUAGUUGUAGAACAUCUCAUAAAUGAAAACAUAAUGUGGUAGAGUCAACUCUUGCCCGUGGGACAUAAUUUGUAGUUUGAAAGUCUUUAAGUCAAGUCUUGCCUCUAAGACAAUAGUUGUAGAACAUCUCAUAAAUGAAAACAUAAUGUGGUANNNNNNNNNNNNNNNNNNNNNNNNNNNNNNNNNNNNNNNNNNNNNNNNNNNNNNNNNNGUAAUAGUUGGAGAACAUCCCAUAAAUGAAAACAUAACGUGGUAGAGUCAACUCUUGCCCGUGGGGUAUAAUUUGUUGUUUGAAAGUCCCUGAGCUAAGUUUUGCCUCUAAGUUAAGAGUUAUAAAACAUUUCAUAAAUCAAAAUACAAUGUGGUAGUGUCCUCCAGAGGCCUGGGCCGAACUGUGAGGUGUCCUGUGCAUCUCGUGCCCAAUUUAUCAGGAUUUGCAACAACUAUGUAUGAAGGAAUCCAUUCCUAUAAAUCAAGCAAAGUUGAUGAAGAAACAGGGUAAAGGGAGAACGGACAAAUCAAUAUACUUAAGUUAUAGUCGCAGUGGUUAAGGUACCUCGAGCUUUUCAGGACCAUCACAAUCCAGGAUGUCAUCAUAUUGAACUUUCAAACGUUUUUCUGAUACUCGUAAGAUCUUACACCUGAACCAACAGCCUCUCAUGCCACUAUCCUGACAAAGAACCUCUAUGUUGUCACCAGCUUCAAAAGACAACUUAUGUUGAGACUCGACAAGCUGAAUUCCAGCCGGUCCACUGUUCGGAAACUUUACUUUUAACUUCGGGUAAUUUGGUAGCUUGGCCGUUGCUAUCUGCUUACCAGCCAUUAAUGCACUUCUCCUUUCACUUCUCGGGGUAUCUACAAGAUAAGGGAAGUCAACAAAGUUCAGCUGCCUGGCCAACAUUUCCUCAAACAAAAUAUACUCUAAAUCGGCUAGUAAUUAAAGGUACAUGGACAUCAAAGCGCAACAGGAAAUAUAAACCAAGUCAAUUAAAAUCAAAUCAUACAUAGAAAGUUCAAAAUUGCAUCGACAUUAAUAAGAUUACAAAAACCUCCAUCCGCCCCUCCAAAUCAACACCUCCUAUUUAAAUGUUUGUCAUGGGCCCGCCCAAGAAGUUUCACUUAAAUUACAUCCCGGAGACCGCACCCACUCACUAAUCCAUAGGCUAACACCCAUCGAAAAUUGCAAGAAAUCCUCAGUUUUUUCUAUUUCACUCAUAUGUCUUUAGAAGGGAUUUAGGCGACUUAGUAGGGAUUUUAACUAAGUCUAAACAAAACUAAUAAACAAAUAAACACAUAAAGGGGAAGGGAGGAGAAAGUAAAGGAUUUAGGCCAUUGAGCCAAAAUCAACGAGACCUGUCUUAGUCUAGUUGGGCUUCCGACCCAUUUCACCUGUCCUAAACUAUUUUUUGAGCCUUUGGCUUGAGUCUUGCACCACCUGUAUUAAAUACAACUUUGGCUUCAAGGCCGAAAUGAAUGAAUAAAUAAAUCACUAAAUAAAAAGAAGACAAUAAUUAAAAUUGAGACUUUUCAAGUCUUUUAGUGACCUCAUCAAUGGGUUUUGACCCAUUUUCCUUUUUCGUCUAUCUUCUAGCACCCGCACGCCAUGUAGUGGACGUUGGGUUUAAACUUCAAACUUCACUCGAAGGGGUGAGCCUCAUUUACCCAUUAUGAAACGCAAGAGGAGAGGAGUCCAUUUGGACUCGAGACAUUUUUUGCAUGUAAAGAAAAGAUAAAGAAAUUAAUAUACGUUCAAGGCAUAAAAGUGACAUAUUUUAAAGAAAAAGAAAAUAUCAAGAACCAAUUUUUGAAUGACAAUGAUAAGCACACUUGCACAAGAAUGAGAGUCAACAAAUAAAAUGCAAAGCAAAGAUACCUACUUACAUGCCUCAUGAUUUAUGUUCAUACAAGAAUGAAUAAAGGUAAAAGGAAGAAGGUCAUAUUCAAUGAAUUAAUACAAGAAACAAACAACGUAACCUUGCGAAAGUAAAGGGAUGAGACAACAAGGAAAAUACUCAUGACUUCUAAAAUUAAACAAACAUAGAUACUAAUCCAUAUAACAAAAGAAAAUAAAGCUUAACUUUUCAAGCAAAAGAAUCCUAAAUCUCAAUUAAGGCGACAUUAACGAAAAUUCAUACAUCUAAAUCACAAUCAACAUUUUAUGGAAAAACACGUAACGACCUAUGGUUUAUAUUUCUAAGACAUCGUUGAUUCUCUUUUGACAUUAUGAAUAAAAGAGAGACAUGAAUCAAGUCUUUACACACACAAAGCGCACAUAUAACAAUCCAGAGUAAGAAAAUAAGAAUAAAAGUUUAACAUUUCUAAAAGUGAAAUAUCGUUUCACAAUCAUACUAUGUAGUAAGCAAAUGACAAAUUCUUGACUUAACUAAUUACUAUUUUUAUUAAGGCGCAACAAAUAAUAAUAAUUAUUCUUCCAACAUAAAAUAAACAACUUUACAUGCUAAAAAAAACAUAUCUACUAACAAUAAGUUUAAACAAGACAUGAGUAUUAUUUUUCAAGUAAAGAUCUAAACUUUAUCCAAAAUAAUCAAAUAAUAAAGUAAAAAAAAGAGAAACAAUCAAUAUUAUCUAUUCUUUUCAACAUAAAGGAAACAACUUUACAUGCUAAAAACAAAUAUAUCUACCAACAAUGAGUUUAAACAAGACAUGGGUACGUCUUUUCAAAUAAAGAUCUAAAAUUUAUCCAAAAUAAUCAAAGAAUAAGGUCAAAAGGGAAAACAAUCAAUAUUAACUAUUCUUUUCAACAAAAAGAAAAUAAUUUUACAUGCUAAAAAUAAACAUAUUCAACAACAAUGAGUUUGAACAAGACAUGAUUAUGUUUUUCAAGCAAAGAUCUAAACUUUAUCCAAAAUAAUCAAAGAAUAAGGCGAAAAGGCAAAACAUUCAACAUUAACUAUUCUUUUAAACAUAAAGAAAAUAACUUUACAUACUAAAAACAAAUAUAUCCAACAACAGUGAGUUUAAACAAAGCAUAAAUACAUAUUUUAAGCAAAUAUUGAAACUUUAUCUGAAAUAAUCAAAGAAUAAAGUCAAAAAAGGCACAUACAACUAUUGCUAGCUCAUUUUUAUAUCAUGAACAUGAAAAUAAUUAGACUAUCGAUACCACAACGUCCUAGGGCCUUCAAGGCCAUCUACAACAUACAAUCCCAGCUAACAAAAUUAUAUCUACGAACUACGAAGAAGAAAAAGAUGAAGAAGAAAAUAAUAAUAAAAACUAAAAUUAAAAAAAGGUGUGUUUACCUUUUGGGGGGCAGCAAAAUGAGACUACGAGUUUCGUCGGAAUCAACUACCACCGAAAAACGUCGCGACCAACUCUAUGAAAUAAAAACUUUUACUAAAUAAAAAUAACUAUUUUGCUCAAAAGGAUUUUUUCACCUUUCUAGCUUCUUUUUUUUCUUCAUUUUUUUUUCUCUCUACCAAAAUAAUGGUAGUAUUUAUAGGAGAGAAUGAGAUAUUUUUUUCUCUUUUCCACCAAUGUGGGAGAAAAGUAUUUAUAGGAAAGGAUAGAGAUUUAUUUCUUGUCAUCCACUAAUGUGGGAGAAAAAGCAUUUAGGGGGAUUUUUCGAAUGUAAAAAUUAAAGAUAAAGUGAGGUGGAAGAUAAUGAGGGGGGAAAUAGUACAAUGUAGUACAAUCUUUGAAUUUUAAAAUUGGAAAAAGACAAAGUUGGGGGGAAUAGUACAAUGUAUUACAAUUUGAAUUUAUUUUUUGAUGGGAAUUGGGUAAAAGUUAUGAGAGUUCUUGAGAAUUUUGGGGUUAUUUAAAAUAUAACCCGAAUUGAAAUUUAAAAUUUAGCCAUAUUUAUUUAUUUUGACCAAAUUAAAAAUUAAUUGACGAAUUGCAUUGCAAUUAUGACCAAUUUUCAAUUAUGGUCAAAUCUAAUAGAUUGGCUAAAUUAAAUUAAAAUUNNNNNNNNNNNNNNNNNNNNNNNNNNNNNNNNNNNNNNNNNNNNNNNNNNNNNNNNNNNNNNNAUCAAAUGCAUAUUUAUUCAAAUAAAUUAUUUUUGAGAAUAAAUUAUAUUUAAAUUAUGAUUUUAAUCAUUUCAAUUUAUAUUUCAAGAUGAGCCUUAAUUAAAUCCGAUAUUUUGUAAAAUAAAUAUUUUAGUAACAAGUUAUAUAAUCUCGUAUAAGUGAACACGAUAGCAUAUAAUUGCUACUUAAAAUGACAAAAUCACGUACAAAAAAUAUUUUAAUUUUUUUUAUUUGGAUGAAAUAAUUAUUUUGGUUUUAUUAAAAACUGCACGGUCAAUUUUUGGCCCACAUCACGCCCAUUCCCCGAUCCCACCCCAAAAACCGUGGGCUAUAGCACACCGAUUUUGCUCGAAAAUGCCUUAUUCACACCGUUUCGCCCGUUUGCCCACCCAAAUCGCCUCCAAAAAUUAAACAGACCGCAUGUGAAUGAUCCCCAACCUCCCUAGCACGUCUCGAUCGAUUUUUGGCCGACAGCAUGCCCGGACCCCGGGCCCACCCCCAAAACUGUGGGCUAUUGCACACCAAUUCAGCCCAAAAAUGCUCCGUUCAUGCUAUUUCGCCUUUUUGUCCACCCAAAUGGCCACAAAAAUUAAACGGACCACAAAGGGACGAUCAUCAACAUUCCUGGCAUGCCCCGGUCGAUUUUCAGCCUACAGCACACCCGAACCCUAGGCCAACCCCCAAAACCGUGGACUAUAGUACACCGAUUAGGUGUGAAAAUGCUCCGUUCGCGAUGUUUCGACCGUUUGUUACCCAAAUGGCCAUGAAAAAUUAAACGACCCACACUGGCAGGAUCCUCAACCUACCUGGCAUGCCUCGGUCGAUUUUUGACCAACAGGAAGCCCGGACGCUAGGCCCACCCCCAAAACCAUGGGCUAUAGCACACCGAUUUGGCCUGAAAAUGCCCCGUUCGCAUCGUUUCGCCUGUUUGUCCACCCAAGCGGCCAAUAAAAAUUAAACAGACCACACUAGGAUGAUCCCCAACUUCUGUGGCAUUCCACGGUCGAUUUUUGGCCCACAAAAAGCCCGUUCCCCGAUCCCACCCCCAAAAUCGUGGGCUAUAGCACACCGAUUUGGCCCAAAAAUGCCCUGUUCGCCUCGUUUCGCCCGUUUGUCCACCUAAAUGGCCACGAAAAAUUAAACUAACCACACUGGAAUGAUCCCCAACCUCCCUAGAAUGCCUGGACCCCGGGCCCACCUCCAAAACUGAGGGCUAUAGCACACCGAUUUAGCCCUAAAGUACCCCAUUCGCACCGUUUGGCCCGUUUGUCCACCCAAAUGGCCACGAAAAAUUAAACGGACCAAACUGGGAUUAUCCCCAACCUUUCUAGCAUGCCUAGGUCAAUAUUUGGCCAACAACACGCCCGAGCCCCGAGCCUACACUCGAAAAUGUGGGCAAUAGCAAGCCGAUUUGGCUCAAAAACACCCCGUUCGCGCUAUUUUGCCCGUUUGUCCAUGCAAAUGGCCACAAAAAAUUAAACGAACUACACUGGGACGAUCCCCAUCCUCCAUGGCACACCUCAAUCAAUUUUCGUCCUACAGCACGCCCAACCCCAAAAUUAUGGGCUAUAGCAGACCGAUUUGGCCCAAAAAUGCCCCAUUCGCGUCAUUUCUCCUGUUUGUCCACCCAAAAGCUCCCUGGCACGCUUCGGUCAAUUUUUGGCCCACAGCACGCUUGGACCCCGAGCCCACCCCUAAAACUGUAGGCUAUUGUACACCAAUUUGGCCCGAAAAUGCCCCGUUUGCGCCAUUUCGACUUUUUGUCCACCCAAAUGGCCACGAAAAUUAAACGGACCACAUUGAGACGAUCCCCAACCUUCCUGGAAUGCCCCGAUCGAUUUUUCACCCACAGCACACCCGGAACCUGGGCCAACCCACGAAACUGUGGACUAUAGCACACCAAUUAGGCCCGAAAAUGACCUGUUUGCGUCUUUUCAACCAUUUGUCACCCAAAUGGCCACAAAAAUUAAACGACCCAUACUGGGAUGAUCCCCAACCUCCCUGGCACACCCCGAUCGAUUUUCAGCACACAACACGCCCGGACCCAGGGCCCACUCCCAAAAUCAUGGGCUAUAACAUACCAAUUUUGCCCAAAAAUGCCCCGUUCGUCCUGUUUCGCCCGUUUGUCCACCCAAAUUGCCAUGAAAAAUUAAAUGAACCAUACUAGGACGAUCCCCACCCUCCGUGGCACAACCCAAUCAAUUUUUGGCCCACAGCACGCCAGAAUCCCGAGUCCACCCCCAAAACCGUGGGCUAUAGCACACCGAUUUGGCUCGAAAAUGCCCUGUUCACGCCCUUUCGCCCGUUUGUCCACCCAAAUGGCCAUGAAAAAUUAAAGACUAAACUGGGAUGAUCCCCAACCUCCUUGGCAUGCCUUGGUAGAUUUUCAGCCUACAGCACGCCCGGACCCCAGGCCUACCCCCAAAACCGUGGGCUAAAGCACAUCGAUUUGGCUAGAAAAUGCCUCAUUCGCACCGUUUCGCCCGUUUGUCCACCCAAAUGGCCACAAAAAAUUAAACGAACCACAUUGGCAUGAUCCCCAUCCUCUAUGGCUUGUCCUGGUCAAUUUUUGUCCCACAGCACGCCCAGACCCCGAUCCCACCCCGAAAACCAUGGGCUAUAGCACACCGAUUUUGCUCGAAAAUGGCUUAUUCACACCGUUUCGCCCGUUUGUCCAUCCAAAUCGCCUCCAAAAAUUAAACGGACGGCACUUGAAUGAUCCCCAACCUCCAUGGCAUGCCCCGGUCGAUUUUUGGCCGACAGCAUGCCCGGACACCAGGCCCACCCCUAAAACUGUGGGCUAUUGUACACCAAUUCAGCCCAAAAAUGCUCCGUUAAUGCUAUUUCGCCUUUUUGUCCACCCAAAUGGCCAUAAAAAUUAAACGGACCACAAAGGGACGAUCCUCAACCUUCCUGGCAUGCCCCGGUCAAUUUUCAGCCUACAGCACACCCGAACCCUGGGCCAACCCCCAAACCUUGGACUAUAGUACACCGAUUAGGCGUGAAAAUGCCCCGUUCGCGAUGUUUUGAUCGUUUGUCACCCAAAUGGCCAUGAAAAAUUAAACGACCCACACUGGGAUGAUCCUCAACCUACCUGACAUGCCUCGGUCGAUUUUCGACCAACAGGAAGCCCGGACCCCAGGCCCACCCCCAAAACCAUGGGCUAUAGCACACCGAUUUAGCCUGAAAAUGCCCCGUUCGCAUCGUUUCGCCUGUUUGUCCACCCAAGCCGCCAAGAAAAAUUAAACGGACCACACUGAGAUGAUCCCCAACUUCCGUGGCAUGCCACGGUCAAUUUUUGGCCCACAUCACGCCCAUUCCCCAAUCCCACCCCAAAAACCGUGGGCUAUAGCACACCGAUUUUGCUCGAAAAUGCCUUAUUCACACCGUUUCGCCCGUUUGCCCACCCAAAUUGCCUCCAAAAAUUAAACAGACCGCAUGUGAAUGAUCCCCAACCUCCCUAGCACGUCUCGAUCGAUUUUUGGCCGACAGCAUGCCCGGACCCCGGGCCCACCCCCAAAACUGUGGGCUAUUGCACACCAAUUCAGCCCAAAAAUGCUCCGUUCAUGCUAUUUCGCCUUUUUGUCCACCCAAAUGGCCACAAAAAUUAAACGGACCACAAAGGGACGAUCAUCAACAUUCCUGGCAUGCCCCGGUCGAUUUUCAGCCUACAGCACACCCGAACCCUAGGCCAACCCCCAAAACUGUGGACUAUAGUACACCGAUUAGGCGUGAAAAUGCUCCGUUCGCGAUGUUUCGACCGUUUGUCACCCAAAUGGCCAUGAAAAAUUAAACGACCCACACUGGCAGGAUCCUCAACCUACCUGGCACGCCUCAAUCGAUUUUUGACCAACAGGAAGCCCGGACCCUAGGCCCACCCCCAAAACCAUGGGCUAUAGCACACCGAUUUGGUCGGAAAAUGCCCUGUUCGCAUCGUUUCGCCUGCUUGUCCACCCAAGCGGCCAAUAAAAAUUAAAUAGACCAUACUAGGAUGAUCCCCAACUUUCGUGGCAUUCCACGGUCGAUUUUUGUCCCACAAAAAGCCCGUUCCCCGAUCCCACCCCCAAAACCGUGGGCUAUAGCACACCGAUUUGGCCCAAAAAUGCCCUGUUCGCCUCGUUUCGCCCGUUUGUCCUCCUAAAUGGCCACGAAAAAUUAAAAUAACCACACUGGGAUGAUCCCCAACCUCCCUAGAAUGCCUGGACCCCGAGCCCACCUCCGAAACUGAGGGCUAUAGCACACCGAUUUAGCCCGAAAGUACCCCAUUCGCACCGUUUGGCCCGUUUGUCCACCCAAAUGGCCACAAAAAAUUAAACGGACCAAACUGGGAUUAUACCCAACCUUUCUAGCAUGCCUAGGUCAAUAUUUGGCCAACAACACACCCGAGCCCCGAGCCUACACUCAAAAAUGUGGGCAAUAGCAAGCCGAUUUGGCUCAAAAACACCCCGUUCGCGCUAUUUUGCCCGUUUGUCCAUGCAAAUGGCCACAAAAAAUUAAACGAACUACACUGGGAUGGUCCCCAUCCUCCAAGGCACACCUCAAUCAAUUUUCGUCCUACAGCACGCCCAUCCCCAAAAUUAUGGGCUAUAGCAGACCGAUUUGGCCCAAAAAUGCCCCAUUCGCGUCGUUUCUCCUGUUUGUCCAUCCAAAAGCUCCCUGGCACGCUUAGGUCGAUUUUUGGCCCACAGCACGCUUGGACCCCGAGCCCACCCCUAAAACUGAAGGCUAUUGUACACCAAUUUGGCCCGAAAAUGCCCCGUUUGCGCCAUUUCGACUUUUUGUCCACCCAAAUGGCCACGAAAAUUAAACGGACCACAUUAAGACGAUCCCCAACCUUCCUGGAAUGCCCCGGUCGAUUUUUCACCCACAGAACACCCGGACCCCGGGUCAACCCCCGAAACUGUGGACUAUAGCACACCGAUUAGGCCCGAAAAUGCCCUGUUUGCGUCUUUUCAACCGUUUGUCACCCAAAUGGCCACAAAAAUUAAACGACCCAUACUGGGAUGAUCCCCAACCUCCCUGGCACACCCCGAUCGAUUUUCAGCACACAACACGCCCGGACCCAGGGUCCACUCCCAAAAUCAUGGGCUAUAACAUAUCAAUUUUGCCCAAAAAUGCCCCUUUCGUCCUGUUUCGCCCGUUUGUCCACCCAAAUUGCCAUGAAAAAUUAAAUGAACCAUACUAGGACGAUCCCCACCCUCCGUGGCACAUCACCGUCGACUUUUGGACCACAGCAUGCCCGGACGCCUAUCCGUCCCUCAAAAUCUUGGGCUAUAGAAAAUCGAUUUGGCCCGAAAAUGCCCCAUUCACACUGUUUCACCCGUUUGUUUGCCCAAUUGGCCACAAAAAAAUUAAACGAACCACACUAGGACAAUCCCAACCUCCCUGGCAUGCCCCAUCCGAUUUUAAGCCCGCAGCACGCCCGGACUGCGGGCCCACCCUCAAAACUGUGGGAUAUAGCACACCGAUUUGGCCCGCAAAUGCUCUGUUCGCGCUGUUUUGCCCGUUGGUCCACCUAAAUGGCCACAAAAAAUUAAACUGACCACACUGGGAUGAUACCCAACCUACCUGGCACGCUCCGAUUGAUUUUUAGCCCACAACACUCCCAGACCCCGGGGCCACCUCCAAAACCAUGGGAUAUAGCACACCGAUUUAGCCCAAAAAUGCCCCGUUCAUGCAGUUUCGCCAAUUUGUCCUCCCAAAUGGCCACAAAAAAAUUAAAACGACCAUACUGGGAGGAUCCCCAACCUCCCUGGCACGCCCAGGUCUUUUUUCGGCCCACAGCAUGCCCGGACCCCGGGCUCACCCCCAAAACCAUGGGCUAUUGAACACCAAUUUCGCUUGAAAAUGCCCCGUUCAUGCUAUUUUGCCCGUUUGUCCACCCAAAUGACCACAAAAAAUUAAACGAACCACAGUGGGACGAUCCCCAAUCUUCCUGGCAUACCCCGAUGUAUUUUUGUCCCACAGCACACCCAGACCCCAGGCCCACCCCCAAAACCGUGGACUAUAGCACACCGAUUUGGCUCGAAAAUUUCUCGGUCGCAUCGUUUCGCCCAUUUGUUCGCCCAAAUGGCCACGAAAAACUAAACUGCCCACACUGGGACGUUCCCCAACCUCCAUGGCAUGCCCCGGUCAUUUUUGGCCCACAGCACAACCAGAACCAGGGCCCAACCCCCAAAACAGUGGGCUAUAGCACACCAAUUUGGCCCGAAAAUGCUCCAUUCACACCGUUUCGCCCGUUUGUCCACCCAAAUGGCCAUGAAAAAUUAAACGGACCGCACUAGGACAAUCCCAACCUCCCUGGCAUGCCCCGGUCAAUUUUUGGCCGACAACACGCCCGAACCCCGGGCCCACCCCCAAAACUGUGGGCUAUUGCACACCAAUUCGGCCCAAAAAUACUCCGUUCGCGCCAUUUUGCCUUUUUUUCCACCCAAAUAACCACGAAAAUUGAAUGGACCAUAGAGGGACGAUCCUCAACCCUCUUGGCAUGCCCCGAUCGAUUUUCAGACCACAGUACACCCGAACCCCGGGCCAACCCCUAAAACCGUGGACUAUAGUACACUGAUUCGGCCUGAAAAUGCCCCGUUUGUGUUAUUUCGACCGUUUGUCACCCAAAUGGCCAUGAAAUAUUAAACGGCCCACACUGGGAUGAUCCUCAACCUACCUGGCAAGCCCGAAUCCCAGGGCCACCCCCGAAACCAUGGGCUAUCGCACACCGAUUUGGCCUGAAAAUGCCCCGUUCGCGCUGUUUUGCCUGUUUGUCCUCCCAAGCGGCCGAGAAAAAUUAAACAGACCACACUUGGACGAUCCCCAACUUUCCUGGCAUGCCCCAAUCGAUUUUUGGACUACAUCACGCCCGUUCCUGAGCCCACCCCAAAAACCGUGGGCUAUAGCACACCGAUUUAGCCCAAAAUGCCUCGUUCGCCCCGUUUCGCCUGUUUGUCCACCUAAAUAACCACGAAAAAUUAAACUGAACACACUGGGUUGAUCCCCAACCUCCCUAGAAUGCCUAGGUUUAUUUUUUGCCCACACCAUGCCUGGACCUCGAGCCCACCCCCGAAAUCGAGGGCUAUAGCACACCGAUUUGGCCCGGAAAUGCCCCAUUCGCACCGUUUUGCCCGUUUGCCACCCAAAUAGCCACGAAAAAUUAAUCGGACCAAACUAGGAUGAUCCCCAACCUUUUUGUAUGCCCCGGUCAAUUUUUGACCUAUAGCACGCCCGAGCCCCGGGCCUACCCUCGAAACCGUAGGAAAUAGCACACCGAUUUGGCUUGAAAACACCCCGUUCGCGCCAUUUUGCCCGUUUGUCCACCCAAAUGGCUACAAAAAAUUAAACAAACCACACUGGGAUGAUCCCCAUCCUCCAUGGCACGCCUCAAUCAAUUUUCGACCUACAGAACACCCGAACCCCAGGCCCACCCCCGAAAUUGUGGGCUAUAGCACACCGAUUUGGCCCGAAAAUGCCCCAUUCGCGUCGUUUCUCCGGUUUGUCCACCCAAAUACUCACAAAAAAUUAAAAGAACCGUACUGGGAUGAUCCCCAACUACCCUGGCAUGCCUAGGUCGAUUUUUGGCCCACAGCACGCCUGGACCCCGGGCCCACCCCCAAAACUGUAGGCUAUUGCACACCAAUUUGGCCUGAAAAUACCCUGUUCGCGCCAUUUUGCCUUUUUGUGCACCCAAAUGGCCACAAAAAUUAAACGGACCACAUUGAGAUGAUCGUCAACCUUCCUGGCAUGCCCCAAUCGAUUUUUGGCCCACAUCACACCCGGACCCCAGGAUAACCCUCAAAACCGUGGACUAUAGCACACUGAUUAGGCCCGAAAAUGCACUGUUCGCGUCGUUUCAACCGUUUAUCACCCAUAUGGCCACAAAAAUUAAAAGACCCAUACUGGGACGAUUCCCAACCUCCCUGGCACACCCCGAUUGAUUUUCGGCACACAACACGCCCAGACCCAGGGCCCACUCCCAAAAUAGUGGGCUAUAGCAUACCAAUUUUGCCCAAAAAUGUCCCGUUCGUGCUGUGUCGCCCGUCUGUCCACCAAAAUUGCCAUGAAAAAUUAAAUGGACCAUACUAUGACGAUCCCCAACCUCCGUGGCACGUUCCGGUCAACUUUCGGACCACAGCAUGCUUGGACGCCGGUCCGUCCCCCAAAAUCCUAGGCUAUAGAAAAUCGAUUUGGCCCGAAAAUGCCCCGUUCGCACUGUUUCACCCGUUUGUCUGCCCAAUUGGCCACAAAAAAUUAAACGGACCACACUAGGACGAUCCCAACCUCCCUGGCACGCCCCAUCCUAAGCCCACAACACACCUGGAUCGCGGGCCUACCCUUGAAACCGUGGGAUAUAGCACACCGAUUUGGCCUGCAAAUGCUCUGUUCGCGCCGUUUUGCCCGUUUGUUCCCCCAAAUCACCACGAAAAAUUAAACUAACAACACUGGGAUGAUCCCCAACCUCCCUGGCAUACCCCAAUUAAUUUUUAGUCCACAGCACGCCAAGACCCCGGGGCCACCUCCAAAACCAUGGGCUAUUGCACACCGAUUUAGCCCAAAAAUGCCCGGUUCGCGCGGUUUCGCCAGUUUAUCCUCCCAAAUGACCACGAAAAAAUUAAACCGACCAUACUAGGAUGAUCCCCAACCUCCCUGGCAUGCCCAGGUCUUUUUUCAUCCCAUAGCACACCCGAACCCCCGGCUCACCCCCGAAAUCGUGGGCUAUUGCACACCAAUUUGGCUUGAAAAUGCCCCGUUCAUGCUAUUUUGCCCGUUUGUCCACCCAAAUGGCCACAAAAAAUUAAACAGACCACACUGGGAUGAUCCCCAAUCUUCCUGGCAUACCCCGAUCGAUUUUUGGCCCACAGGAGCACACCCGAACCCCAGGCCCACCCCCGAAACCGUGCACUAUAGCACACCAAUUUGGCUAAAAAAUUCUCCGUUCGCAUCGGUUUGCUUGUUUUUCCACCCAAAUGGCCACAAAAAAUUAAACGGACCACACUUGGACUUUCCCCAACCUCCCUGGCAUAUCCUGGUCAAUUUUUGGCCCACAACACGCACCAACCCUGGGCCCACCCCAAAACCAUGGGCUAUAGCACACGUAAAUGGCCACAAAAUAUUAAACGGACAACACUGGGAUGAUCCCAACCUCCCUGACAUGCCCCGAUCGAUUUUUGGUUCACAGCACACCCGAACCCCGAACCCCGAGCCCACCUCCAAAACCGUGGGCUACAGCACACAGAUUUGGCCCAAAAAUGCCCCGUCCACGCUGUUUCGCCCGUUUGUCCACCCAAAUGGCCACGAAAAAUUAAACAGACCACACUGGGACUAUCCCCAACCUCCCUGGCAUGCCCCAGUCGAUUCUUACCCACAUCAGGCCCUGACCCUUGGCCCACCCCCUAAAACCGUGGUCUAUGGCACACCAAUUUGGCCUAAAAAUGCACCGUCCGUGCCGUUUCUCCCGUUUGUCCACCAAAAUAGCCAUGAAAAAAUUAGACGGACCACACUAGAAUGAUCCCAACUUCCCUGGCAAGCCCCGAUCAAUUUUUUGCACACAGCACGCCCGGUCCCCGGGCCCACCUCCGAAACAAUGGGCUAUAGUACACCGAUUUGGCACGAAAUGCUUCGUUUGCACUGUUUUGCCUGUUUGUCUAGCAAUAUGGACACGAAAAAUUAAACAGAUCAAACUGGGAUGACCCCAACCUCUCUUGCAUGCGCCAGUUGAUUUUUGACCUACAGCACGCUCGGAGCCCGAGCCUACCCCCGAAACCAUAGGCUAUAGCACACAGAUUUAGCUCGAAAAUUCCCCAUUUGCACCGUUUCACCUGUUUGCCCACAUCACGCCCAAACCCCCAAGACCACCCCCAAAACCGUGGGCUAUAACACACCGAUUUGGCCCAAAAAUGCCCAGUCCGUGCUGUUUCGCCCGUUUGUCCACCAAAAUUGCCAUAAAAAAUUAAAUGAACUACACUGGGAUGAUCCCGAACUUCCCUAGCAUGCCUAAGUUGAUUUUCAGCACACAUCACGCUCGGACCUCGGGCCCACCCCCAAAACCGAGGGCUAUUGCAUACAAACUUGGCCGAAAAAUGCCCCGUUCACGCCGUUUCGCAUGUUUGUCCACCCAAAUGGCCAUGAAAAAUUAAACGGACUACACUGGGACAAUCCCCAAUCUUUCUGGCAUACCCCGGUUGAUUUUUGGGCCACAACACACCCGGAUCCUAGGCCUACUCCCGAAACUGUGGACUAUAGCAUACCGAUUUAGCUCAAAAAUUCCCCGUUCGCAUCGUUUCGCCCGUUUGUCCACCCAAAUGGCCAUAAAAAUUAAACGGCCCACACUGGGACGUUCACCAACCUCCCUGGCAAGCCCCGGUCGAUUUUUAUUUGAUAGCACGCCCGCAACCCUGGCCUACCCCCAAAACCGUGGGCUAUAGCACACCGAUUUGGCCCAAAAAUGCCCCGUUCGCGCCGUUUUGCCCAUUUGUCCUAUAGCACACCGAUUUGGAGCAAAAAUGCCCCGUUCGCACCGUUUUACCCGUUUGUCCACCCAAAUUGCCAUGAAAAAUUAAACGGCCCACACUGGGACGAUCCCCAACCUUCCUGGAAUGCCCCGGUCGAUUUUUUGCCCACAGCACACCCGGACCCCGAGCCAACAUCUAAAACCGUGGGCAAUACCACACCGAUUGGGAUCGAAAAUGUCCCAUUCGCGCCAUUACCCCCUUUGUCCACCCAAAUGGCCACAAAAAAUUAAACGAACCACACUGGGAUGAUCGCUAACCUCCCUGGAAUGUCCCAGAUAAUUUUUGACCCACAGCACGUCGGACCCCGGGCCAACCCCCAAAACCGUGGGCAAUAGCACACUCAUUUGGCCCGAAAUUGCACCGUUCUCGCCGUUUCUACCAUUUGUCCACCCAAAUUGCCACGAAAUAUUAAACGGACCACAUUUGGACGAUCCCCAACCUCCCUGGCAUAAAGGCCCCGUUCGCAUCGUUUCACCCAUUUGCCCACCUAAAUUUCCACAAAAAAUUAAACGGACUACACUGGGACGAUCCCCAACCUUCCUAGCAUGCCCCGAUCAAUUUUUUGCCCACGACACACUCGGACCCCGGGCCCACCCCCAAAACCAUAGGCUAUAGCACACUGAUAUGGCAAAAAAAUGGCCCAUCUGUGCCAUUUUGCUCGUUUGUCCACCAAAAUGGCCACAAAAAAAUUAAACGAACCAUACUGGGAUGAUCCCCAACCUCCCUGGCAUACCGCGGUCUAUUUUCGGCCCACAGCACACCCGUACCCAAGGCCCACCCCAAAAACCGUGGGCUAUAGCACACUGAUUUUGCCAGAAAAUGCCCCGUUCGUAUUGUUUCGCGUGUUUGUCCACCCAAAUGGCCAAAAAAAUUUAAACGGGCCAUACUGGGAUAAUCCCCAACCUUCCUGGCAUGCCCCAGUCGAUUUUCGGCCCACAGUAUGCCCAAACCCCGAGCCCACCCCUAAAACCGUGGGCUAUAGCACACCAAUUUGUCCCAAAAAUGCCCCGUUCGUGCCAUUUUGCCCGUUUGUCCACCCGAAUGGCCACGAAAAAUUAAACGGCCCACACUGGGAUGAUCCCCAACAUCCCUGGCAUGCCCUAGUCGAUUUUCAGCCCACAGCUCACCCGAACCCCGGGCCAACCCUGAAACUGUGGAAUAUAGCACACCGGUUGGGCCCAAAAAUGUCCCAUUCGCACCGUUUUGCCCCUUUAUCCACCCAAAUAGCCACGAAAAAUUAAAAAGACCACAUUGGGACGAUCCCCAACCUCCCUGGCAUACCCCGAUCAAUUUUUGGCCCACAGUUCGCCCGAAACCUAGGUCCACCCCCAAAACUGUGAGCUAUAGCACACCAAUUUUGCUUGAAAAUGCCCUGUUCACGCCGUUUCGCCCGUUUGUUCACCCAAAUGGCCAUGAAAAAUUAAACAGACUAUACUGGGACGAUCCCCAACCUCCCUGGCAUGCCCUAGUCGAUUUUUGGCAUACAGCACGCCCAAAUCCCUGGUCUACCCAUGAAACCAUGGGCUAAAGCACAUCAAUUUGGCCAGAAAAUGCCUCAUUCGCACCGUUUUGCCCGAUUGUCCACCCAAAUGGACUCGAAAAAAUAAACAAACCACAAUGGGAUGAUCUCCAACCUCUCUGGCACGCCUGGACCUCGGGCCAACCCCUAAAACCGGGGCCAAUAGCACACCGAUUUGCCCCAAAAAUGCGCUGUUCAUGUCGUUUCACCCGUUUAUCCACCCAAAUGGCCAUGGAAAAUUAAACAGACCAUACUUAGAUGAUCCCCAACCUCUCUGGCAUGCUUUGGUUGAUUUUUGGCCCACACCAUGCCUGAACGCCAGGCCCACCCCCGAAACGGUGGGCUAUAGCACACCUAUAUGGCCCACAAAGGCCCCGUUCGCAUUGUUUCGCCCGUUUGCACACCUAAAUGGCCAAAAAAUAUUAAAUGGACCACACUGGGAUGAUCCCCAACCUACCUGGCAUGCCCCGAUCGAUUUUUGGCCCACAGCAUGCCCAGACCCCCGGCCCACUCCUGAAACCGUGGGCUAUAGCACACCGAUUUGGCCCAAAAAUGCCCCGUCUGCGCCGUUUCACCCGUUUGUCCACCAAAAUUGCCGCAAAAAAUAAAAUGGACCACACUGGGACUAUCCCAAACCUCCCUAGCAAAGCCCGAUCAAUUUUUGACCUACAGCACGCCCGAACCCUGGGUCCAUCCCCAAAACCUUGGGCUAUAGCACACCGAUUUAGUCCAAAAAUGCCCCAUUUGCACCGUUUCAUGCGUUUGUCCACCCAAAUGGACACGAAAAAAAUUAAACGGACCAUACUGGGAUAAUCCCCAAACUUCCUGGCACACCCCGAUCAAUUUUUGAAAUAGAACACGCCCAAAAACCCCGGCGCACCCCAAAAAAAGUGGGCUAUAGGACACCAAUUUGGCUAAAAAAUGCCCUGUUCGCGUUAUAUUGCCCGUUUUUCAUCCAAAUGGUAACGAAAAAUUAAACGAAUCACACUGGGAUGAUCCCCAACCUUCCUGGCACACCCAGGUAGAUUUUUAGCCCCCAUCACGCCUAGACAUCAGGCCCACCCCAAAAUCGUGGGCUAUUGCACACCGACUUGGCCUGAAAAUGCCCAGUUCGCACCGUUUUGCCUGUUUGCCCACCCAAAUGUCCACAAAAAAUUAAACGGACCACUCUGGGAUGAUCCCCAACCUCCCUGGCACACCCCAUUCGAUUUUUGGACCACAGCUCCCCCGUACCCUGGGCCCACCCCCAAAAUCGUGGGCUAUAGCACACCGAUUUGGCUCAAAAAUGGCCCCUUCGCAGUGUUUCGCCCGUUUGUCCACCCAAAUGGCCAUGAAAAAUUAGACGGACCACACUGGGAUGAUCCCCAACCUACCUGGCAAUCCCCGGUCAAUUUUUGGCCUACAGCACGCCCAGACCCAGGGCCUACUCCCGAAACCAUGGGCUAAAGAACAUCGAUUUGGCCAAAAAAUGCCUUUUGCAUGCUAUUUCGCCCUUUUGUCCACCCAAAUGGCCACGAAAAAUUAAACAAACCACACUGGGAUGAUCUCCAACCUCUGUGACACGCCUCGGUAGAUUUUUGGCCCACAACACGCCCUAACCCAAUUAAACGAACCACAGUUGGACGAUCCCCAACCUCCUUAGCAUGCCCAAUUGAUUUUCUGCCCACAGUACUCUCGGGCCCCAGGUCCACGCCUAAAACUGUGGGCUAUAGCACACCAAUUUGGCCCAAAAAUGCCCUGUUUACACCGUUUUGCCCGUUUGUCCACCCAAAUGGCCACGAAAAAUUCAUCGAACCACACUUGGACUAUCCCAACUACUAGGCAUGCCCCAGUCAAUUUUAUUCCACAGCACCCCCAGACCCCGAGCCCACCCCCGAAACCGUGGGCUAUAGCACACCAAUUUGUUCUGAAAAUGCCCCAUUCAUGCUGUUUCGCCCAUUUGUCCUCCCAAAUGGCCACGAAAAAUAAAUGUACCUCACUGGGACGGUCCCCAACCUCCCUAGCAUACCUCAGUCAAUUUUUGGCCCACUGCACGCCCGAACCCCGGGCCCAACCCUGAAAUCGUGGGCUAUAGCACACCAAUUUGGCUUCAAAAUGCCCCAUUCGCGUCGUUUCACCUGUUUAUCCACCCUAAUGGCAACGAAAAAUUAAAAGGUCCACACUGGGAUGAUCCCCAACCUUCUAGCAUGCCAAGGUUAAUUUUCGGCCUACAGCACGCUCGAACACCGGGCACACCCCCGAAACCGUGGGCUAUAGCACACAAAUUUUGCCCGAAAAUGCUCCGUUCCCGCAGUUUUGCCCGUUUGUCCACCUUAAUGGCCACAAAAAUUAAACGGACAAUACUGGGAUGAUCCCUAACCUCCCUAGCAUACCCUGGUCAAUUUUUGGACCACAACACGCACGAACCCCGAGCCCACUCCCGAAACCAUGGGCUAUAGCACAUCGAUUUGGCUCGAAAAUGCCUUAUUUUUGCUGUUUUGCAGGUUUGUCCACCCAAAUAGUGACGAAAAAUUAAACGGACCACACUGGGAAGAUCCCCAACCUCCCUGGCACAUCCCGAUAGAUUUUCGGCCCACAUAACACCCGAACACCAGGCCCACCCCUAAAAUCAUGGGCUAUAGCACACCGAUUUCGCCCAAAAAUGCCCCGUUCGCGCCAUUUUGCUCGUUUGUCCAACCAAAUGGCCAAGAAAAAUUAAAUGGACCACACAGGGAUGAUCCUAAACCUCCCUAGCAUGCCCCAGUCAAUUUUCGAUGUACAACUCGCCAGGACCCUGGGCCUACCCCCAAAACCGUGGGCUAUAGCAUACCGAUUUGGCCCAAAAAUGCCCCAUUCCUAUUGUUUCGCCCGUUUUUCCACCCAAAUAGCCACAAAAAAAUUAAACGAACCAUACUGGAAUGAUCCCCAACCUUCCUGGAAUGCCCCGGUCGAUUUUUGGCCCAUAGAACGCCCGGACCCCGAACCCACCCCAAAACCGUGGGCUAUAGCACAUCGAUUUGGCCCGAAAAUGCCCCGUUCACACCGUUUCACCUGUUUGCCCUCCCAAAUAAUCAUAAAAAAUUAAACGAACCACACUGGGAUGAUUCCCAGCCUGUCUGGCACACCUCGAUUGAUUUUCAACCCACAGUACGCCUGGACCCCAGGCCCACCCCUAAAACAAUGGGCUGUAGCAUAUCAAUUUGGACAGAAAAUGCCCCGUUCGUGCCGUUUUGUCCAUUUAUCAACCCAAAUGGCCAUAAAAAAUUUAACGGACCAUACUAGGACGAUCCCAAACCUCCCUGGCAUUCCCCGAUCAANNNNNNNNNNNNNNNNNNNNNNNNNNNNNNNNNNNNNNNNNNNNNNNNNNNNNNNNNNNNNNNNNNNNNNNNNNNNNNNNNNNNNNNNNNNNNNNNNNNNNNNNNNNNNNNNNNNNNNNNNNNNNNNNNNNNNNNNNNNNNNNNNNNNNNNNNNNNNNNNNNNNNNNNNNNNNNNNNNNNNNNNNNNNNNNNNNNNNNNNNNNNNNNNNNNNNNNNNNNNNNNNNNNNNNNNNNNNNNNNNNNNNNNNNNNNNNNNNNNNNNNNNNNNNNNNNNNNNNNNNNNNNNNNNNNNNNNNNNNNNNNNNNNNNNNNNNNNNNNNNNNNNNNNNNNNNNNNNNNNNNNNNNNNNNNNNNNNNNNNNNNNNNNNNNNNNNNNNNNNNNNNNNNNNNNNNNNNNNNNNNNNNNNNNNNNNNNNNNNNNNNNNNNNNNNNNNNNNNNNNNNNNNNNNNNNNNNNNNNNNNNNNNNNNNNNNNNNNNNNNNNNNNNNNNNNNNNNNNNNNNNNNNNNNNNNNNNNNNNNNNNNNNNNNNNNNNNNNNNNNNNNNNNNNNNNNNNNNNNNNNNNNNNNNNNNNNNNNNNNNNNNNNNNNNNNNNNNNNNNNNNNNNNNNNNNNNNNNNNNNNNNNNNNNNNNNNNNNNNNNNNNNNNNNNNNNNNNNNNNNNNNNNNNNNNNNNNNNNNNNNNNNNNNNNNNNNNNNNNNNNNNNNNNNNNNNNNNNNNNNNNNNNNNNNNNNNNNNNNNNNNNNNNNNNNNNNNNNNNNNNNNNNNNNNNNNNNNNNNNNNNNNNNNNNNNNNNNNNNNNNNNNNNNNNNNNNNNNNNNNNNNNNNNNNNNNNNNNNNNNNNNNNNNNNNNNNNNNNNNNNNNNNNNNNNNNNNNNNNNNNNNNNNNNNNNNNNNNNNNNNNNNNNNNNNNNNNNNNNNNNNNNNNNNNNNNNNNNNNNNNNNNNNNNNNNNNNNNNNNNNNNNNNNNNNNNNNNNNNNNNNNNNNNNNNNNNNNNNNNCAUCAUCUAGUUCCAAAGCAUGAUUAAUGUGUAUAACUGCACCAUUAAAAGAUAAACAACACUUGUUUCAAGAUAAUUCUCAUGGAUUUGAAUUUGAACAUUCAAGAUUGAAACAAGAAUUUGAAUCAUACAAGGGGAAAUUAGAAUUUUCCAAAAUAUUUUACCCAAAAAAGAAAAAAGAAAAUCAUACCCGAAUUGGAGCCCGACUAAUCCGGAUUUGCGCCGGGUAGGGCCCCUUCCGGGGGUAGCGCUCCCAACAGAGAGGCUAUAUAUAUAUAUAUAUAUGCAUGCAAGUAGGUUAAAUAGGAGUAUAAUUUUUGUUAAAGAUAUAGAAGAAGCUAGUAGGAUAUAUAUAUAUAUAUAUGCAUGCAAGUAGAUUAAAUUUUUGGUAAAGAUAUAGGAGCUACAAGAAUGAAAACCAAUCACCACUUUUGCUGGAUCAAAAGAAACAAGCAAAGAGGAUACAAUUAGUGUAAAGAGGAUAUUUACAAGUAAGUUUACUUAAACCAUUUGAGAUUUACAAUCUUGAAAAUAAAAUAUAUUAAUUAUUAGUACAAUUUUACACUCAAUUAAUUUAUCAAUCCCUCUAGUCAGAUGGGUGUCAGCCGAUUUUUUGAUCAAAUCCUCUAAAAACCAUACAUGCAAGUCUUCCUACACGUGGGUCACGCCAUUCGAAGUGGCCCAACCUAACAUUCAUUCGCAAAUUUAAAACAUUUAUAAAAUUAUACUAUAUAUGUUGUUAUUUAAGGGAGAAGGAAAUAAGAGUGCAAAUAAAAUAUUACCAGAGAGUUGCAUAACCACAAGCAACAAAACCACAUAGAACAUAAAAAGGCUCUUCAUUGUCAUUCAAUAUUCCAAAAGUAGUGCAACUGCAAUCAAAAAGAAAAAAAACAUAUAUGAUAGAUAAGAUUAGAUAAAAACUUAAUUAAUAUGAAAAAAAUUUUGAACUAGAAAAAAGGUAAGAAAAUAGAAAGACAAAAAUAUAGAGGGGUAGGAGAAAUUUAUAGUGAAAAUUAGUUGAUAACAUAUUAGUGAAUUUAUGGUUAGGUUUUUAAUACUUACUUGCCAUUUAAAGCAAUAUGAUAAAUAUUUUUCUUAAAAUAUGUUUGUAAAAGUUUAUAAUAUAAGUAUUACCACUAUAUAUAACCGUGAGUGACAGCUGAAAGCAUGCAGCUGCGAGCAGGCAGCUGACGGUCGACAUGCCUGCUUCCAGCUGCCUGCUUGUUCCGUGAUUUUACUAUUUCACCUCUAAUUAAUUAUUAUAUGAUAUUUAUGUAUUAAAAAAAUAAUAUUUAAUAAAAAAAUAUCUUAAAAUGGGUGACUCUAAAAAAAGACAACUGUGAAAUGUUUGUAAAAGUUUUUAUGACAAUAUGAUUAAUAUAUAUCUUAAAAUGCUUGACUAAAAAAAAAUGAAAAUUAUGAACUUGUUCUAACAUGAUACAUUAAUAGUUGUCAUAUUUGCUAAAAGAAUUUAUCUCAAAAUAGUUUACAUGUUUAAAAACUCAAGAGCUCAUUAAUUAUUUUUUUCCAAUUCUAUCUUUAGUAAUAAAUAUUUUAAAAUUAAAAGACAUGAAAAUAGAUGAAAAUUAAAAAAUUAAUAAGGGAUAUAUUAGUUAUAUCGCACUAAUAUAAUUUUAACACUCUAAUCUUCCAUUACUCAUUCAACUCAAGCAGAGGCGGAUCCAGGAUUCGGAAGCUUCGGGUGUCAUCUUAUUUUGAACAAUAACGUAUACUCCGUAUGAUAUUUUUAGGAUAAUGGAGUCAAUAUUUAAGGAAUAAACUAUAAUUAUAUAUAUCAACAAAUACUAGUAUUACAUAAAGGUUUGCCUAGUUGGUAUUGUCAAGUGUUUUGUAAGAAGAGGCCAAUAUGUUUUUUUAAGAGAAAACAGACAUAUAUUGCUAAAAAUCAUUCUAAAAAAUUGAAAAUAUUGUGCUGAGCGGGGAUCGAACCAGCGUUGCAGGAGUAAAACUCAACCAUUUCAACCACUUACACCACCAAUUCCUUUGAUAUUGUGGGUGCCAAGAGUAAUAUUCUUACAUUAACUGAUACAUAUACACAUAAAUAUGCAUUAACUAAUACAUAUACUCAUAAAUAUGCAGAGUUUCAAUCGAGAAGUGCGGGUGCCGUGGCACCCCAAACCUUGUGAAUAGAUCCGCCCCUGAACUCAAGCGAAAAUCACCCAUUAUCCCACAUGAGUUGUGGUGCAGUGGAUAGGGCUGUUUCAUCCUUAACCAAAAGUCGAGGGUUCGAUUCUGGGUAUGGAGAAAACUCUAUUGGGAGCGAUGCCAGCUUAAUGGACCCUGCAACGCGCAAUCCGAAUUAGUCGGGGAUCCAAUACGAACACCGAAUAUCGAAUGGAAAAUUAAAUCAAAAAAAAAAAAAAAAAAAAAAAACCCAUUAAAAUUCCAAUAUUUCCAUAUGGGAAAGAGAGUAAACUUGUCACCUUAUUUGUUUGCAUGCAUCUUAAUUAAGCAAAAUAUUAACUAAAAGUAAUUUGAAUUAUCCUCGUUUAUUAUUCAUCUCUAUUUAAUAAUUCUAUCUUUUACACUAUAUUACUAAUAUCUUUUCACAUUUUUAAUUAAGGAUAAAGAUGAAAAAAGACAAUUAAUUAUAUCUUAAUUUUUUAAAAUAACAAAUACACUCUUCGUCCCAAAUUACGAUGAAGUAAAAUAUCAAUUGUUUAGCAGCGCCUCUUCAGAAGAGCUCAUUGGGCAGGGGAAAGUAUGCCUUAGAACAUCGAUGAUGACAUUGAAGCACACAUUGAACUCGAGCUUAUGGAUGAUUUUAUGCAUUUCUUUCCCUUAAUUUCAACCCAUUUGUCGUCUAUCCAAUCUCUUGAAAUCCUCACGUUCUUCCUUUCAAUCUCCAAUGUCUUGUUCUCCCCUAUUAUAAAAGAAAAAGAACACUCCGGGACAUCAGGCCAAGGCCAACAUCAAAAAAGAAAAAUGAAAGAAAGUCCGGUGCACUAAAACUCUGGUUAUGCAUGCGGUCUGAGGAAGGCCGGACCACAAGGGUCUACUCUACGCAGCCUUAUUCAAGACUUGAACUCGACGACCUCCUUAUCACAUGGCAGCAACUUUAUCGGUUGCUACAAGGCUCCCAUUUCCACGACCAGCAUAGAUUGUUCAAAACUCCGGACAACAAAUUAACUAGAAACUAGGCCCUGCUGUCUAAAACUUUUUCACUGUCGUGUUAGAAAGCCAAUUCAUGAAAACGCGGUCCAUUGGUUGUUGAGUUUGUCCUCAUCAGAAGUUGCUAUCCAUCAACAGAUAAUCAAGAAUCCUCCUUUUAUUGCUUGUNNNNNNNNNNNNNNNNNNNNNNNNNNNNNNNNNNNNNNNNNNNNNNNNNNNNNNNNNNNNNNNNNNNNNNNNNNNNNNNNNNNNNNNNNNNNNNNNNNNNNNNNNNNNNNNNNNNNNNNNNNNNNNNNNNNNNNNNNNNNNNNNNNNNNNNNNNNNNNNNNNNNNNNNNNNNNNNNNNNNNNNNNNNNNNNNNNNNNNNNNNNNNNNNNNNNNNNNNNNNNNNNNNNNNNNNNNNNNNNNNNNNNNNNNNNNNNNNNNNNNNNNNNNNNNNNNNNNNNNNNNNNNNNNNNNNNNNNNNNNNNNNNNNNNNNNNNNNNNNNNNNNNNNNNNNNNNNNNNNNNNNNNNNNNNNNNNNNNNNNNNNNNNNNNNNNNNNNNNNNNNNNNNNNNNNNNNNNNNNNNNNNNNNNNNNNNNNNNNNNNNNNNNNNNNNNNNNNNNNNNNNNNNNNNNNNNNNNNNNNNNNNNNNNNNNNNNNNNNNNNNNNNNNNNNNNNNNNNNNNNNNNNNNNNNNNNNNNNNNNNNNNNNNNNNNNNNNNNNNNNNNNNNNNNNNNNNNNNNNNNNNNNNNNNNNNNNNNNNNNNNNNNNNNNNNNNNNNNNNNNNNNNNNNNNNNNNNNNNNNNNNNNNNNNNNNNNNNNNNNNNNNNNNNNNNNNNNNNNNNNNNNNNNNNNNNNNNNCCAAGUCAAUUAAAAUCAAAUCAUACAUAGAAAGUUCAAAAUUGCAUCGACAUUAAUAAGAUUACAAAAACAUGCAUGAUAUUAAGGAUCACAUAUAGAUGCUUAAGCGGAAAAUGAAAAAGGGAAGAGAAAGAUAAAAAGAAAAUCCAAACUGCAUACAGCACAUUCAUCAUAAUAGAUACUUUGCGACAUGGAGACAUAAAAGAAAAAAUAAAAGAGAAAAGGUUUAUUGUUCAAGUGAAAUUCUAAAUCGGUGUAAGAAGCAAAGGGAGUCUAGAAGCAAAGGGCAGACUCGUACUGAACAACUAGGUCUAUUAAAGAUUCGACCCUAUUUAGAAUGCAACAGAUCUCAGCCAGACAGCAGCAAGAUAAUCAGACAUUUAGUGACCUCAUUAUUAUAACCUUUUUUAGAAGGAUUACUUCAUUACUCGUUGAAUCCGAUAUAGAACACCCAUUGCAACAACAUAACCAGUGUAAUCCCACACGGCCUUUAACUCUACCUAGUUGAGAUAGAGAGACUGUUUCCAAUAGACCCUCCGCCCACUCACCCCCACCACCAAACGUAAAGGCCGAUUUACCUUCUCUUUCCCCAAGGAAUUGCACCUCCAGGAUUAUUUCCUUGCAUUUAACCCCGUUCUUAAUCAGGACGAAAGUUGAAAAAAGGUGAGACUGCGCCCUUACACAUUAGAGCAAGGAUGCCAUAAAGAUUUAUUAGUGCUAUCAAUAAAAAGAAAGGAGUAUAGCAUCAACACCAUACGUUCUUCAUCAGAUAUCUCUCCUAUCAAUUAGAAAAAGAACUGAUUAUACAAAAUGCCGAGAACUUAAACCCCCUUUCCCUUAUCUGUCAAAGAGUUAAAAAUUGACUGUAUCGGGAAAAGGAAAGACAUAUAUUUUAGAUUUUAUCAAGGGGGAAAAAAGGAAGACAUAGAAGCAGAAAGAAACUUCUACCUCGAUUUCUCUUUUUUUCUUUUUUAAUCGUUGAAGUGCAAACUUAUACCUCGAUCUCUCCGCAAGCGUAAUAGCUCCUGAUGACCAUAUAAACAAUGAAAAAACAGCACCAAACCACAACCUCAAACGAAACACAGACAGAAUUUCGCUUAAUCAAAAGAAAGACUAAACUUAAUUCCAGAAACUCUCGAUACAACUCAGCUACAAAGAACAGAUUUUUUUGUCAAGGUUACCGACCACGGACCAAAUCAGAAUGAAAAACAACAAUGAAGCUUAAAUCCACGUGAAAAUGGAAUGGGGUUUUCUGCUUUUCAAAGAUAAACCAUGCACAAGAACAAAAGCAUACAACAAUGAACCAGCAUUGGUCAGACAACAAGUGAUCACACUUACAAACAGCUUAAGGUUGAAAAAGGAAACAAGCAACUAAAAAACAAUCCGGAAUUCAAGAAAAACAAGAUAAGCACGGAACUAGUAACUCACCUCAAAAGUAGCAAACGUUUCUUUCUUUAUGGAGGAGAGCAGAAACAGCUACAGAAAAAAACCAGAGAAUGCUGAGUUGGGCUUUUUGUUCAAGAAGCGGUGACGGUUAGGGAAAAUGAUAGAGUAAAGAGCAAAAGAACAAGAAAAGAAGAUGGGAGAGAAGGGAGAAAACGCCAAAUGUCAUUGCCCACACAAGCAAAAGGUUGAGCAUUGGUUUUUUGUUUGAACUUCUUAGAAAAAAUAUACCAAAUCAAACCGAUAAUAUACAUACAUAUAUUUUAUAAUUAUUUAUUGAAGACAAGAUGUGGAAAGCAAGGUUGAGAUGAUUCGGACAUGCAAUGAGGAGAAGCACGAAUGCCCCAAUGCAGAGGUGUGAGGCGUUAGCUAUGGAUGGAUUUAGGAGGGAUGGAGGUAGACCAAAGAAGUAUUGGAGAGAGGUGAGAGUUGUAUCUUACCGAGGACAUGAUCUUAGGUGGAAAGGUGUGGAGGACAUGAAUUAGCGUAGAACGCUAGCAGGUAGGAGUGCAUCCAUAGUAGUAGGUAGAAGUGCAUUGUCGUGUUGCCUUUUCUAGUAGUCGUAAGGACUACUCAUGUUGUUCUCGUUCUUCAAUUUCCGUUACUAUCUAUUAUUUUCGUGUAGCUCGAGUGGAGUACUAUUUUGUUGUAGCAAUGUUAUUUUACUAUUUGUUGCUUUUGAAACUAUCUAUUGUCUCCUUAUUUAUAAAAUAAAUUUCAACACCCAAAAAUGAUUAUCAACUAUUUACAAUCAGUUUAUCCAAAAAGACUCUAACUGAGUAAUUUGACUAUUAAGAAUAUAUAUUGUCGGCUCCAAUUGAUUUGGGACUGAUGCAUAACUAUUAUCCUAAUUAAGUAAAAAUUUUGCAAUAGUUAUAUUGAAAAUUAUUUGAGAGAAAGAGUAAUGUUGUUUUUUUCUUUCUUCUUUCUUCCCUAACUGCUAGCAUUGGCUAACAAUUCAAUAAGGAUGAAUGAUAUUACUUCACUCGUAGUCAGGAUAAAAUUCAUAUAACUAUUCUAUAGAUCCUGUAAUUAAAAAAAUCUAGUAUCCUAGAAUUUUAAAUCACUCGUAGUCAGGAUAAAAUUCAUAUAACUAUUCUAUAGCUCCUGUAAUUAAAAAAAUCUAGUAUCCUAGAAUUUUAAAUUACACAAGUAAAACUCUAGAAGGAUGACUACUACUUCAAAGACUUGAUAGAAAGCAUGACGAUAUAGAUAUGACGUCCUUAUUUUUCGAUAGUUUCUUAAGAUGUCGUUAAUGGGGAAAAUGACACCUUUUUGGUAAUGGCAAGGGCAAAAACCAAUCUAACUAUUAACGGAGGGCAAAAGUGCUCCUCGGCGGAGAGUACAAGAACAAUUUUGACCCCUUUUUCCGUAGUUUGAAUAUAAGCCACAGAGACUCCAAUUUUACAUCCAUUGACUGUUGAGUUAUCCUUACAUGAAGUUUCUACACAUGAACCGAUAAGCAAAAAAUCGCCUUUUAUUCUUUGUUUUCUAUUUCUAUUUUAAUUAUUUAGUUUUUUGGGUGCUCUUUGGGAUUGUUAUUUCUUACCAGGGAAGUAAACAUCAAGAUGACUGCUUCCAAAGAAAUCGAAUUCAGCAACGACACCUUCCCACCAGUCACAUCACCAAGCAUCAACUGCAGUAACCACUUCAGAAAAUAGUCAGAAGAAUCCUCUAGAGGCCGGGGCCGAAUUGCGAGCCUGCAACUCUGUAGGAUGGAAGCCAUUCCUAUAAAUCAAGAAAAGGUGAUGGGGAAACAGUGUGAAGGGAAAACCGACAAAUCAAUAUAUGUAAGUAAUCAUAAGUUAAAGUACAUAAAUUUAAGGUAAAUUAAGCACAGGUGAGAUUUACUUACAAGUCAAAACAGUGCCAAAAGCAUUUCACCAGAAUCAAAGAAACUGACGACUUCUAGGCGCCAGCAUUAUCACAUGUAGAAUUGUCAGAAAUCAGCUCUACUUACCUGCAAGAAAAUCAUUACCCCAUCGUUUCUUCAGUUUAAGCACAUCGGUGGCUUGCUUCUCCGCUAAGUGUUCAGAAGUUGACGUCAUUUUUUUGUCUUCAGGUGCCACAAGCUUGGGAGCCAUCUGAUUUUCGUAGUUCCCCGGUUCUUUGAUACUGCGCUUGGACACAUCAUUUAAGCUCGAGCUUAUGAAUGACUUGAUGUCUUUCUUUCCCUUAACUUCAACCCAUUUGUCGUCUAUCCAAUCUCUUGAAAUCCUCACAUUCUUCCUUGGAAUCUCCAACAAUCUAUUCUCGCCUAUUAUCAAAAAAAAAACACCUUGGGGAAUCAGUCCAUGACCAACAUUGAACAUUCAAAAUUCUAACUACAAAUUAGCCAGAAACUAGGCAUAAUGUUUUAUUCCUUAUUUUCUGUAACUUUAUAAAAAAUUUUAGGUGCUCUUUGGGGUUGUUAUUUCUUACCAGGGAAGAAAACCUGAAGAUGACCGCUUCCAUAGACAUCAAAGUCAACAACAACACCUUCCCACCAUCCGUCAGACCACCAAGCAUCAACUGCAGCUCCUACUUCAAAAGAACAGUCAGAAAAAUCCUCCGGAGGCCAGGGCCGAAUUGUGAGGCGUCCUAUGCAUCUCAUGCCCAAUUUAUCAGAGUCUGCAACUCUGUAGGAGGAAACCCAUUCCUACAAAUCAAGAAAAGGUGAUAAGGAAAUAGCGUGAAGGGAGAACAGAAAAGUAUAUAAACUUAGAGUUAUUGUGUCAGUGAUUAAGGUACCUUGAGCUUGUCAGGACCAUCACAAUCCUGGAUGUCAUCGUAUUGAACUUUCAGAUAUUUUUCUGAAACCUUUAAGACCUUACACCUGAACCAGCAGCCUGUCAGGCCACUAUCGCGUCUAAGAACCUCUAAGUUGUCACCAACUUCAAAAGACAGCUUAAAUUGAGGCUCAACAAGCUGAAUUCCAGCCGGUCCACCGCUUGGAAUUUUUGUUUUCAACUUUGGGAAAGUUGGUGGCUUAGCUGUUGCUAGCUGGUUACCAGGAAUUGACUUUCUGAUGCCAGAAGAACGACUCCCACCGACACUUCUGCUCCCCCUAGGCCCUUGUUUUAUAGGAUCUUCUCGGGUUCUUCGCGGGUUAUAUCUUUUAUUUCGUGCAACAUAGGACUCUUUGACUUAAGCUGGGCUUGAUGACUGGAUAACAUGGUAAAUAUUGUCUGGUUAUAGUAGCCACCCAACUCACCUACAGAGAACGGCAUGAC
rnacentral:lncRNA from 1 species